rfam:Oryza glaberrima chromosome 8 Oglab08_0155_11, whole genome shotgun sequence.
UAUGAGAGGUAAAUACUACUCUGUCCGUCCUAUUUAAUCGUCCAUUUUAUUUAAAAUCUUUUUAAAAGAUAAAAAACAUAAUUCAUACAUAAAGUACUAUUAAUGUUUUAUCACCUAAUAACAAUAGAAGUAAUAAUUAUAAAAAUAUUUUAAAUAAGAUGUACGAUUAAAGUUGGACAAAGAUACUCAUGCCAGCGCUUGAA